AUUGAACGCUGGCGGCAGGCUUAACACAUGCAAGUCGAGCGGUAACAGAGAGUAGCUUGCUACUUUGCUGACGAGCGGCGGACGGGUGAGUAACGCGUAGGAAUCUGCCUGGUAGUGGGGGAUAGCCCAGAGAAAUUUGGAUUAAUACCGCAUACGCCCUACGGGGGAAAGGAGGGGAUCUUCGGACCUUUCGCUAUCAGAUGAGCCUGCGUGAGAUUAGCUUGUUGGUGAGGUAAAGGCUCACCAAGGCGACGAUCUCUAGCUGGUCUGAGAGGAUGAUCAGCCACACUGGGACUGAGACACGGCCCAG
rnacentral:rRNA from 1 species